GUGCUCUCUUGGCAGCACAUAUACUAAAUUUGGAAUGAUACAGAGAAGAUUAGCAUGGCCCCUGCUCAAGGAUGACAUGCAAAAUCGUGAAACGGUCCAUAUUUUU
rnacentral:snRNA from 1 species